UAAGCGGAGGAAAAGAAACUAACAAGGAUACCCCUAGUAACUGCGAGUGAAGCGGGAAAAGCUCAAAUUUAAAAUCUGGUGGUCUUUGGCCAUCCGAGUUGUAAUCUAGAGAAGCGUCUUCCGCGCUGGACCGUGCACAAGUCUCCUGGAACGGAGCGUCGUAGAGGGUGAGAAUCCCGUCUUUGGCAUGGACACACCAGGGCUUUUGUGAUGCGCUCUCGAAGAGUCGAGUUGUUUGGGAAUGCAGCUCAAAAUGGGUGGUGAACUCCAUCUAAAGCUAAAUAUUGGCGAGAGACCGAUAGCGAACAAGUACCGUGAGGGAAAGAUGAAAAGCACUUUGGAAAGAGAGUGAAACAGUACGUGAAAUUGUUGAAAGGGAAACGCUUGAAGUCAGUCGCGUCGACCGAGACUCAGCCUCGCCUCGGCUUGGCGUACUUCUCGGCCCGACGGGUCAGCAUCAAUUUCGCCUCUUGGAUAAUGGCGAGGGAAACGUGACACCUUUACGGUGUGUUAUAGUCUCUCGUCGCAUGCAAGGGUCGGGAUUGAGGAACUCAGCACGCGCCUUUGGGCGUCGGGGCUUUGCCUACGAUACGUGCUUAGGAUGUUGGCGUAAUGGCUUUAAACGACC
rnacentral:rRNA from 1 species